GUCCGUGGAGCUCAGGAGGAAGAGCGUCGCCGUCACACGGCGGAGACCCCGGGUUCGACGCCCGGCGCGGGCA
rnacentral:tRNA from 1 species